AGGGGGGAUGUGUGGUAGAAAUUAAUGAGUACAUUCUAUGGUAAACCAUGAUUAUUAUUAGGCCUUAUAUCUUAAUGGUAGAAGACACAUGAUACCUGCAGAGCCUGGGGUCAGAACAGAUGGUGGGACACAGAAAUGAGCAGGAAGCUACGGGGUUAAGCCAUGUUGACCUCAGCCUUCAGCCUUGGGUCAUUUUGGCUACGGGGUUAAUGCAUGCUGGCCUCAGACUGGUGUCCAAAAUCACUUUGUUGAUAAUAUGCUGAGACGAAGAUUGAUGUGGGCGGAAACCUCCAUUGGGACAAAGGAAUUAUUGUAUGUGUGUAUAAAGAGAAGCUGGAAUCGAUGUUCGAGCAGUGACUCUAUAGAUCUACUCAGGCUGUUAUCGUUGUUGUUUUUCUUCACGAUAAAGUAUUUUGUCAAUUCUUGCUCCGGACCCCUCGAUUUAUUUUACAAUUUCUCUCUUGAAUUAGUCUAAGUGCUUUAUAUCUCGGUUAAUCUUCAACAUAUUGGUGUCACGAACAGGAGGAAAUAGGGACUCGCCAGCUGCCGGGCCAGAGGACGGGACGCGAACGGAUCAUACGACCAGAGCUCAAGGUUGCCCUGAUGUGUAUCUUUUACGCACACACACGCUGCAUAGGGCAGAUGCGGCUGAAGACUCUGUCUCCAUUCCUCCACUUUGCGAUCUAUACCACCAUAUAGGUGGGGAUUGAUCGUAUCCCAG